rnacentral:rRNA from 1 species
GACGAACGCUGGCGGCGUGCUUAACACAUGCAAGUCGAACGGAAAGGCCCUGCUUUUGUGGGGUGCUCGAGUGGCGAACGGGUGAGUAACACGUGAGUAACCUGCCCUUGACUUUGGGAUAACUUCAGGAAACUGGGGCUAAUACCGGAUAGGAGCUCCUGCUGCAUGGUGGGGGUUGGAAAGUUUCGGCGGUUGGGGAUGGACUCGCGGCUUAUCAGCUUGUUGGUGGGGUAGUGGCUUACCAAGGCUUUGACGGGUAGCCGGCCUGAGAGGGUGACCGGCCACAUUGGGACUGAGAUACGGCCCAGACUCCUACGGGAGGCAGCAGUGGGGAAUAUUGCACAAUGGGCGGAAGCCUGAUGCAGCAACGCCGCGUGCGGGAUGACGGCCUUCGGGUUGUAGACCGCUUUCGCCUGUGACGAAGCGUUAGUGACGGUAAUGGGUAAAGAAGCACCGGCUAACUACGUG